CCCUGACAUUACCUUAAUGUCUUCCAGCAGAACUCCAUUAUCUCUGUUUAAGUUUUCAGCCUGCUUGAUUUGUCCCGUUGCCUCAUUCAGAGCUUCACGAAGGUCACUACAUCCAUGCCAGUCACCAAAGCUUCCUUUGUAACCACUGGAGAGAUAAGGGUAUGUUCAAUCUCAAAGAAGUUAGAAACAUAAAAGAGGUCAAAUGAAUCACACUCUUAAGAGUGCCUAUUUCACUGCCGACAAGACAGGGUACAGAAGAGUUUCUCUGAGGGAAUGACAUGGAAACAACAACUGUCCUCUAACAGGUGAAGCCCAGUGCUGUCAGCAUCUGGUAUUUGGAAUCAAGUGUUAACGUAUGUUUCCUUGCAAGGUGACAAAAAGACGAAGUUUCUAGGUUCGGCUCUUAUCAGCUUAAUCUGAAAUCUGCUUUUCUG